UACAUAGGGGUGUAUUCUGUAACACUUCCGUUAAAUUUUAGUGGCCCCUAAAAUUUUAGCGCCCGCUAAAAAUAUUUUGGUAUUCUGUAAAUCAUACAUCCGUUAAAAUCAUAACCUAAACCGUUAAAACUCCCUCUAAAUAAAAAUAUUUUAGAGGAUGUCAAAACGUACCCGCUAAAUUUUUAGCAGUCCGUUAAAUGUGGUUUGAUUAUUUUUGUUGGGUUAUGUUUGUAUGAAUAGUACUUUGUUAUUCUUGUAUUAUACUGGAGAUAAAUAUUUAAAAAUGGAAAAUGGCUUUUUAUAAUGUAUUUGGUGAAGAAGUACUUAAUAAAUAAUAAUGAAAGAGCUGAUUUCAGAUUACAACAUAGACACAAAGUAAAUAAUUGACCUGAAAGUAAAUAACUACAAUUACCAUUUCAAAGGAAGUAGGUAAUACCUACCUAAGUACCUAGAAAGAAAUGUUAUUGAAAAAGUGUUGGAAGUCAAAGAUGUUUGUCAAAGCAAUUAAAUCCUAUUAAUGCAGGUAAAAUUAUUUAAAGUUAUUGUGGAACAUUACAAAACGUACCAAAUGAUUACAAAGGUAAAGUUUCAGAAGGUUUAUAACCAGAUGCAGAUUAAUAAGAUGACCUUAAUGUUAUUGAAAAUAGACCAUUUGACCAAAAUUAGUGUCGAAGGGGAGAAGAAAAAAUAAGAUAUGCAUUUUUUCAGCAAUAUUUUAAUGUAUAACUUUAUAAAUAAAAAUGUUUAAUUGGAAAA
rnacentral:lncRNA from 1 species